rnacentral:tRNA from 1 species
GGCCCAGUAGUUCAGAUGGUUAGAAUGCCAGCCUGUCACGCUGGAGGUCGAGGGUUCGAGUCCCUUCUGGGUCGCCA